AUUGAACGCUGGCGGCAGGCCUAACACAUGCAAGUCGAACGAGUGGCGGACGGGUGAGUAAUGUCUGGGAAACUGCCCGAUGGGGGGGGAUAACUACUGGAAACGGUCGCUAAUACCGCAUACCAUCGGAUGUACCCAGAUGGGAUUAGCUAGUAGGUGGGGUAACGGCUCACCUAGGCGACGAUCCCUAGCUGGUCUGAGAGGAUGACCAGCCACACGGGAAUGAAGACACGGUCCAGACUCCUACGGAAGGCAGCAGUGGGGAAUAUUGCACAAUGGGCGCAGGCCUGAUGCAGCAAUGCCGCGUGUAUGAAGAGGGCCUUCGGGUUGUAAAGUACUUUCAGCGGGGAGGCGUUACCCGCAUAAGAAGCACCGGCUAACUCCGUGCCAGCAGCCGCGGUAAUAC
rnacentral:rRNA from 1 species